rnacentral:rRNA from 1 species
AACGAACGCUGGCGGCGUGCCUAACACAUGCAAGUCGAGCGCGAAAAGGGCAACCUGAGUAGAGCGGCGCACGGGUGCGUAACACGUGGGUAAUCUGCCUUAGAGUCGAGGAUAACCUUCCGAAAGGUUGGCUAAUACUCGGUAAGCUUACGGUGUCUUCGGACGCUGUGGGAAAAGCAGGCCUCUGUUUACAAGCUUACGCUCUGAGAUGAGCCCGCGGCCCAUCAGCUAGUUGGCGGUGUAACGGACCACCAAGGCAACGACGGGUAGCUGGUCUGAGAGGACGAUCAGCCACACUGGAACUGAGACACGGUCCAGACUCCUACGGGAGGCAGCAGUGGGGAAUUUUCCACAAUGGGCGAAAGCCUGAUGGAGCAACGCCGCGUGUGUGAUGAAGGUUUUCGGAUCGUAAAGCACUUUCGACCGGGACGAAAAACCUCUGGCUAACAUCCAGGGGCCUGACGGUACCGGGAGAAGAAGCACCGGCUAACUCUGUGCCAGCAGCCGCAGUAACAC